rnacentral:rRNA from 1 species
UACGUAGGUGGCAAGCGUUGUCCGGAAUUAUUGGGCGUAAAGCGCGCGCAGGCGGCCUCUUAAGUCUGAUGUGAAAGCCCCCGGCUCAACCGGGGAGGGCCAUUGGAAACUGGGAGGCUUGAGUAUAGGAGAGAAGAGUGGAAUUCCACGUGUAGCGGUGAAAUGCGUAGAGAUGUGGAGGAACACCGGUGGCGAAGGCGACUCUUUGGCCUAUAACUGACGCUGAGGCGCGAAAGCGUGGGGAGCAACAGG